GACGAACGCUGGCGGCGUGCUUAACACAUGCAAGUCGAACAGUAAGGCCCUUCGGGGUACACGAGUGGCGAACGGGUGAGUAACACGUGGGUGAUCUGCCCUGCACUCCGGGAUAAGCCUGGGAAACUGGGUCUAAUACCGGAUAGGACCACUGCCUGCAUGGGUGGUGGUGGAAAGCUUUUGCGGUGUGGGAUGGGCCCGCGGCCUAUCAGCUUGUUGGUGGGGUGAUGGCCUACCAAGGCGACGACGGGUAGCCGGCCUGAGAGGGUGACCGGCCACACUGGGACUGAGAUACGGCCCAGACUCCUACGGGAGGCAGCAGUGGGGAAUAUUGCACAAUGGGCGCAAGCCUGAUGCAGCGACGCCGCGUGAGGGAUGACGGCCUUCGGGUUGUAAACCUCUUUCAGCACCGACGAAGCGCAAGUGACGGUAGGUGCAGAAGAAGGACCGGCCAACUACGUGCCAGCCGCCGCCGUAAUAC
rnacentral:rRNA from 1 species